UAUCACAGGCAUCAGCCUAAUGAGCUUUGAAAAAUACCAUGUUAUUAUUUCUGAGAAACCAAGCAACCUGUAUGGCUGACAAGUCAUUAGAGGUUUCUUAAAUCUAGACAAUCAAGACAACAAUUAAUCACAAGGUAUAAUCACCCUGAAAAUUUAACAAUCAGACAGAAAUAGGAAAAUCAUGGGAAAUAAUAGGAUCCAGUAUAAUUCCUAAAAUCUGGGACCCAGGAGAUGAAAAUAAAACUGGGAAGGAGUUGCAUGCUGUGGUCAAG
rnacentral:lncRNA from 1 species